CAUGAUCAAUGUCCACAUUCAGUCAUAGGAUUCGGCUUACAGUGGUAACCACGGCGGUGUGAUUUUCAUGUUUAUGGCUAAACCGGCUUCAUAUUUAGACAGGGCUUAUAGGGUGUUAAAAUAGUGUGAAUUCAGUCUAACACGAACAGUGCUCACAUUGUGAAAGAGCCGUGUACAAGGCAUAGAAUCUAGACCUGCUUAAUCCACCCUCAGUAAAGCUGACAUAAUGAUCCUAAGCCGCCUUUCUACAAAAUCAUUCAGGAAUUCAAAACGUUCCCUUUCCUGUCUCCGAGUUGCACAUUCUCCCGGCUGACCAACGACUUCAAGCUUGGAGGGACAGGGAGCAAAUAAACAAAGCUGAUGUUACGUCACGUUUGGGAGUGAGAGAGGGAGAAGGGGACCGGAUGAGAGAAAGAAAGAAAAAGGUGUUGACUGUAAAAGGUAAGAGGGAAGAGAAGGCACGAAAGAAAGGGUCUUGUUUUAUUUUUUGCUCCCUCGUUGACCCCGGUUUGGCAGAAGCUUCCCAGAAAAGGCAGCACACCCCUCCCUGGCAAACACAGGAGAGGCACAUGUGCCUACUGCUCCAUCCUGGAUUCAUCUCAACAUUACACAGACACUUUGGAGAAAUGACUGAGCUGUAAGAUGGGUCCAGUCCACGAACGGUCACCCUUUGAGCUUGGAAGCUGGUGGCACCGUUUCACUGUUAUUUCACUGGUCAGUUUGUCCAAAACCAGGAUGGAAAUUGAGCUGCAGCGUCCAGACAUCUAUACUGGAGACAGGAGAGUGAGAGAGAGAGAAUUUGGUCGUCUGCCUAUCUCCUCCUCACCAUGGCGCCCCUGAGACCAAGCAAGCAAGGAGAGUACACAUACACACACACUUUUACCCGCCACCGAGGAGAACAGCUUGGCUCUGUGUUACACUGAAAACCCCACUUUCCCUCAGUCAGACAGACAGGUAGACAGCUGGGUGUUACACUAAAUCCUCUCCCCCAUGUGUUCCUCCUAACACUGGCUCUGCUCUUACUGUCACUUCUCUCUGUCUGGUGCUUUCUUUAUCUCAUACCUCAUGCUUGAAAGCAGAAGAAAAGAGUCAGCCCUGGAAAAAACAAAACUAUGAUAUGAUUGUAAAAUGUGGAGUAGUUUAUGAAUAGUUUAGAGGAGAUGUCUGGGUUUAAAAUUGCAGGAUUAGUCAACGGAAACGUGCAUUUAUGAAACGCUGAAAAUAAAAACAUAGUGUCUAAAACAGAAGUGUUAUCUGUCCCUCUCUUGUCUCUCUCCACCCUGACCCCAAGUUCACUCCUUCUAAGCACCACUUCACCCCAAACCUACAUUUUGUUUGUGUGCACGUGUGUGUCCGUGUGUGUGAAUAAUGCGUGUGUGUGUGUGUGUGUGUGUGUGUGUGUGUGUGUACUGAGAGCUUCUUGAUUUCUUGUGUAUGUGUGUGACAGAUAGAGAUGAGAGAGGAUGAUGGUCAGGCUUGGCCUACUGACUCAUCCACAGAGAGAACUGUGUUGAUACAGGAAUGAAGCCAUCACACACUUUCAGACACACACACACACACACACCCACACACACACACAUAGACAGCCUCUUCCCAUCAGCCUUUUGUUGCACUUGCCAGCGAUGAUGAUCUCACCACAUAGCAGGACUAAGCCUCAAUAGUCAUCCAGUCUGUCAGUUUGGCAGGCAGACAGGCAGCCAGUCAAUAUGGCCGUCAGUCAUCUAGCCAGGCAGUCAGUAAGUAACAGCUAAUUAUCAAAAUUGUAAGUUAUUCAGCCAGUUAGGUAGGGAAUUAGAUAUCAAAUGAGAUAAUGUAAUCACAGUCGGUUAACUGUAUCUGAGUUAUUACGUCAGCCUUAAAAUGUGACUCUUACAUCAGACACAAAGGAAAGAAGCAAUGACGAGGGGAAAGAAGAAAUAAAUCAAAAACUAAUCUCAACUCUGUCUUUGAAUGUCCUGCAGCACAGGCUCAGAUUUAAUCCUAAUAACCACAUCGAGUCAGUAACAAAGUCUUGAAAACUGGAAGAAUUGGAGAAUUCAAGUUCAGGCAAGAUCUUGAAAAAUCUAUCCCCACUUUUAUUUUCGGCAGGCUCAGCUUUAGCAGACUUUUUUAAGGUCUCCCCUUCAAACAGACUGAGGCUGAAGACGAUUUGAUGGUUCCAACAAAGGCAAAGAAAACUGAACUCUCAAUAAAAAAAAAAUCCAAAAUCAAAAGCAAUCUUUUUUUUCUACUAAAUCGUAUCAUUACUAAAUGCUAAUCAUUAUUAAACAUUUGCACUUCAUCAUUUAAUUACAUUUUCGUGUUUCUAUUUAUAAUAAGCUAUUUAAAUGCACUGCAUUGUAUUUCUUAUUUGACUGUUGUACGAGUUAUGUAACUUGCCUUUGUGCAUAUGAAAUGUGCUAUACGAAUAAACAUCCUUUGUAUUCUUUGCCUUUAUGUACUCAAA